CAAUAGAAGAAACAUGUGCAAAUUCAUUUAGGCCUGACUGCAGCAUUAGUACAACUGCUGUCGGCCAGCGUUUCAUCUCCACGUGACCUCGGGUGCCCAAAAGCGAAAAAAAAAAUUCUGAUCAACUAGAAGAACUAUCGAUCAACUCCUUGGGAGUUAUCGAUACCUUCAAAAGAACCCGGCCAAAAAUACUGAUGCUGUAAUAGCAAAUGCUUUCCAGAGAAAUGGAAAAAGUCGAGAGCUCAAAAAACGCAAUUCUAGAAUCGCGUAAAAAAAGAAUAUGAACUUGAACAAAUUGGAAAAAAUUGAAAAAAUUGAGGUCAUUGACAAUCAUCAAGUCUGCUGCCUUGUCUCUGUCUUGUUGAUAAUAGACAAACUAUCUGAAUUAAAAGAUAACGGGGGCGGUAAAGUCGAAUGUUUUUUUUUGGUUACAUUCAACCUCGGUGACGACGUCGCAAAACAUUUUGCACCUGUACAAAAAAGUUGAAACAUUGGGCAACUUUACCAAAUGUCUAAAUCAAGAACUUUUGUGACACAAAGAAACUCUGAAAUUAAAAUCGUGCGAAACUGAGAGGGAGACAGAAAAACGAUUUGCACAUCAUCAAGGAUCAUCAAGGACAUCCAAAGUAACAUGUUGAGAGUAAAAUAAAAUAGAAUCGAUCCCGUUUGAGGACGUCUUCUUAACCGGAAUGUGCAAGAAAAAAACCGGCGUCAAGAUGCGUGAUAUCCCACACAGUCACUCACAGCAGGUGCCAACCGUUCCGAGACCGUGUGAUUUGCGAAGUUUCGUCGGGUUGACGACCAACAAUCAAUUCCUCACUCACUUCUAGUUGAUUGGAUUUGUUUUUUCACUUUUGGGCACCAGAGGUCACGUGGAGAUGAAACGCUUUUUUCCUGCACAUUCCGGUUAGGAAGACGUCCUCAAACGGGAUCGAUUCUAUUUUUCUAAUCUCACUUUGGCUGUCCUUGACGAUCCUUGAUGAUGUGCAAAUCGUUUUUCUGUCUCUCAGUUUCGCAUGAUUUUAAUUUCAGAGUUUCUUUGUGUCACAAAAGUUCUUGAUUUAGACAUUUGGUAAAGUUGCCCAAUGUUUCAACUUUGUUGUACAGGUGCAAAAUGUUUUGCGACGUCGUCACCGCCAGGUUGAACGUUACCAAAAAAAACAUUUGACUUUACCACCCUCGUUAUCUUUUAAUUCAGAUAGUUUGUCUAUUAUCAACAAGGCAGAGACAAGGCAGCAGACUUGAUGAUUUGCAAUGUCUUCAAUUUUUUCAAUUUUUUCCAAUUUGUUCAAGUUCAUAUUCUUUUUUACGCGAUUCUAGAAUUGCGUUUUUGAUAACUCCAAGGAGUUGAUCGAUAGUUCUUCUAGUUGAUCAGAAUUUUUUUUUUUCGCUUUUGGGCACCCGAGGUCACGUGGAGAAACGCUGGCCGACAGCAGUUGUACUAAUGCUGCAGUUAGGCCUAAAUGAAUUUGCACAUGUUUCUUCUAUUGAUAAAACGUUCUGAAAUCUGAUUUGAAAAAUAAAAUUUAUUUUCCCGUU